UAGUCCACGCCGUAAACGAUGAGAGCUAGCCGUCAGGAUGUAUACAUUUUGGUGGCGCAGCUAACGCAUUAAGCUCUCCGCCUGGGGAGUACGGUCGCAAGAUUAAAACUCAAAGGAAUUGACGGGGGGCCCGCACAAGCGGUGGAGCAUGUGGUUUAAUUCGAGGCAACGCGAAGAACCUUACCAGCUCUUGACAUUUGGAUCGCGAUUUCCGGAGACGGAUUUCUUCAGUUCGGCUGGAUCCAGGACAGGUGCUGCAUGGUUGUCGUCAGCUCGUGUCGUGAGAUGUUGGGUUAAGUCCCGCAACGAGCGCAACCCUCGCCUUUAGUUGCCAGCAUUCAGUUGGGCACUCUAGAGGGACUGCCGGUGAUAAGCCGGAGGAAGGUGGGGGAUGACGUCAAAUCAUCAUGGGCCCUUACGGGGCUGGGGCUACACACGUGCUACAAUGGCGGUGACAGUGGGGCA
rnacentral:rRNA from 1 species